rnacentral:tRNA from 1 species
GGAGGUCUUAGCUUAAUUAAAGUGUCUGAGUUGCAGUUAGGAGAUGUAUUAUAUNUAUACAGNCCYU